rnacentral:ncRNA from 1 species
AUUCUCUUUGGUGAUGAAGUCCGCCAAGGCCCUAGCCUAAACUGCCUUCAAGCUGAUGACUUCUUUUAUCAA